GCAGCUGCAGCGUGAAGGGAGGAACCAUCCGGGAGCGGGGCGGGGAGGGCAGAUUGAGUGAGCAGAAGAAGCAGGGUCAGGACCAGGACCGCGGGGGUUCGAAAGCCUGGCAACCGGCUGACCACAAGCACGGUGUGACCAGGAGGGGGGCUCUACAAGGGUAGCCUGGAGGCUGCAGUGGGGGCUGGCGGUUUGCACAGGAGCGACCCCCCCCCUUUAGUGGACUCUGCGGCAGGCCGGCGGAUCCCGCCAAAUCCCACUCUUCCCCAACUCCCCAUCCCAGCCUUUGUCACCCGAGUUGUGAUCUGGGGCCUGGAAGCGGAGAUCCAGGGCACUGGGUAUUGCCAGACCGGAUCUCAGCACGCAUUCAGGAACCAGACGGCUCCGGACAGAGAUCUGCCCUUCGCCAACUCUGCUUCUCCGCACCUCUUGGGAUCGCGCUCCUUGGGCCCUGGACCCCAUGGCGGAUAGGAAACUGGUGGUGGUUUUUGGAGCCACAGGGGCCCAAGGUGGCUCAGUGGCACGCACAUUGCUGGAAGAUGGGACAUUCAGGGUUCGAGUGGUAACAAGGAAUCCUGAGCAGAGAGCAGCCAAAGAGCUGAAGCUGCGGGGCGCUGAAGUCAUGCGAGGAGAUCAGGACGACAAGGCUAGCAUGGAGCUGGCACUGACGGGAGCUCAUGCCGCCUUCAUUGUGACCAACUACUGGGAGAAGUGCAGCCGGGAGCGGGAAGUCGAGCAGGGCAAGCUUCUAGCAGAUCUAGCCAAGCGCCUGGGCCUCCAUUAUGUCGUCUACAGUGGCCUGGAGAACAUCAGCAAGCUGACGGCGGGAAGGCUGGCAGCAGGCCACUUUGAUGGCAAAGGGGAGGUGGAGGAGUAUUUCCGAGACAUUGGUGUUCCCAUGACCAGUGUGCGGCUGCCUUGCUAUUUUGAGAACCUCCUUUCCUAUUUCCUGCCCCAGAAAGCUGCAGAUGGAGAGAGUUACUUGCUGGACUUGCCCAUGGGUGAUGUCCCCAUGGAUGGAAUGGCGGUGAGUGACCUGGGUCCCGUGGUGCUCAGCUUGCUGAAGAAGCCAGAAGAGUAUGUAGGGCGGAACAUCGGCCUCAGCACCUGCAGGCACACUGCAGAGGAGUAUGCUGCCCUGCUGACCAGACACACUGGCAAGACUGUACAUCAUGCAAAGACAACUCCUGAGCAAUAUGAGAAGCUUGGCUUCCCAGGGGCCCGAGACUUGGCCAACAUGUUCCGUUUCUAUGCCCUGAAACCUGACCGCAACAUUGAUCUAACCCUGCAACUCAACCCCAAGGCCCGAACGCUGGACCAGUGGUUAGCACAGCACAGAGAGGACUUUGCUCAGCUGUGAUCCUGAAGCCCUCAGCCGGGGACUAAGAGAUAGUUUCCCAAAAGAAAAGGCCUCUUGUUUGUGGGAAGUGAGCUGGAGCGGCAGAUGCAUGAAAAUGGAAGUGCUGGUAGGCGGCACCAAGUAGGCACAAGGGCUCAUCUGCUAUCACCUCAGCCCGGAGAAGAGCGCUGAGCAGUGUGCACACACACAGUCCACAGGGGACCAGGCAUGUUCACCUGUACCUGUGUGACAUGUACACGUGCACACACAACACGUCCUUACAGAAAGAACAAAUGAAACGUGGCAGAGCUGUGGACCACUGGAGAUGAGGUGAUGUUGCCUGUGCCUAAGACCAACAUUAUGGGUCGGCUUACCUCUCAGCCCUUCACAGGGAGCAACAAAGGCCCAGAAAGCCCAAACACCAGCUGAGAUUUCAUGGCACGUCUGUGAAUUUCCACCAGUGUAUGGGUUUGUCUAACCACUGGCACACUGUCUUUGUACUGUCCUUCCCUGACAUCAGACUCGGAGCAGGAAAAGGAGCAGUGAUCCCAUCAUGCAUUCUACCAGAGACUCUUGACUGAGGCAUGUCCUUGACAACUAACUGUGUCACGCCUUAAAAUGUGGGGUAAACAGACACGUUAUACUGUCUGUCUUAAGGCAACUUUUUGAGACAGUUUCUCUGUGUAACCCUGGCUAUUCUGGAACUUGCUCUGUAGCCCAGGCUGGCCUUAAGCUGAGAGAUCCACCUGCCUCUGCCUCCAAGUGCUGGGACUAAAGGUGUGUGCCACCAACGCCACCCUGACGAAGAACUUAUUUAGUGGGAAGGCCACACAAAGAGAGAGAGAGAAAAGCAAAACUGUUACAGACCCCAGGCUGGAGAGAACAGAUGGAAAUAAGCAGCGUGGCUGGGGAGUCCGAGGUUAGGGUUCUGAGUGACAUUAAGAGGCAGAGCACGAGUACAAACCCUGGGCUUCACCCCCAGCACCAAAAAGAUGAAAAGUUUAAGAAGACCAAUCAGUCAGGACAGGACUGAGGUCUGUGGGGAAGGGCGGGGCCUUCCCAGCAGAGUAAAGGGAGAAGACAGUAACAAGCGUGGACUUCUGAGCCCACGGCGUCAGGAGACCCACAGGUUGUCUCUACGUGCUGCUCUAUGAUGCUCCACCUAAGCCUGGGAUAGCCUGCCAGAAUCAAGGUCCAGCGUGGACACGGAGUACCAGCCAGCUCCUCACUAGAGUGGCAGGAUCAGGGCCAUGCGCUGCCCACCCCGGGUGUUUACUUAUCUGGUCCCCACCCCCUGGGCUGUUGUGAAGACACGGUCAACCCACUUGUGCCUAGCACUUCAAGUACCCUGUGUUUUGUCUGCCACACCAAGGCAAAACCCUGCUAGCCUGCACGUGCCCUUCAGUUUGGUUUGUGUUCCUCUGAAUGGUGGCCUCCACUGCAGAGCACAGUGGGAGCCUCCCAAGUUCCCGAUGAAGCUACGAGUGGAGAGCCACACACAGUGCUCCUUAGGUGGUCUGUUCUGUGUGUGACAAAUUAUCUGCCCUGCACACAAAACACCUUGUGUUACAAACCAUUUCACCAAAUGAGACAGUCAUGUCCACCAGUUUCCUAUCUCCUGCCAUAGCUAAAUGUCUCGAGGCACAGGCUCUUCCUCUACAUACAACAGCAGACCUUGGACUGUAUUCUGUUUGGCCACAAACAGCGCAGGAAACCUCCUGUAAUCCCAGGAGGCAAGGUGAUGAGGACCCAAACAGAGGGGACAACCAGUCCUCCAGGUCUCAUGUAGCCUGUGGCCUUAAAUUCACUAUGUUGCUAAGACUGGCCUUGAAUUUCUGCCUCCAUCUCCCAUAUGAUGCUCCAGUUCCAGCUCAGAGGCUACAAAGUCUAAAAACAAAUGCCUCGGGAGCUGGGUGUAGAAAUAAGCCCACCUAGGCCUGGAGAUGAGACUUCAUUCUAUAGAUGUUGCCUAGCCACCUUUUAUCCACCUAAGAGUCCUCAACAAGUCAGUAAUGAUGCCCUAGCCAAAGACCCACCUACCUCUCCCAAGUCCCUUCCUAGCUCUGAGACCUGGCUGACUUCUUGAGAAAGAACCCCCUGAGAACAGUGUCUCCCCCACUACUGUUGCGGGCCAGUGUUCAGCUGCCCCCCCCCAUCUCUUCCCCGCCCAGCCCAGUGAAUCCUUCCAUACCUCUCUCUGCUUAUCUCAAAAGCCAUUAAGGCUCUGCUGGAAGCCUGGACUAGUUAAAGUACACUAAGCAAAAAAAAAAAAAAAAA